rfam:Colletotrichum sublineola strain TX430BB Scaffolds0799.1, whole genome shotgun sequence.
UCCCCGAUAGUCUAGUGGUGAGGAUAUCUGCUUGUCAUUCAAAUGAACGAUUCGCAGGGGACCGGGGUUCAAUUCCCCGUCGAGGAG